AAAGUGGAGCAAUCCAUGAGUACAGUGGCGUAUGGGUGAGUAACACGUGGAUCAUCUACCUUUUAGUGGGGAAUAACCUUGGGAAACCGAGGAUAAUACCGCAUAAGCCCGAGAGGGGAAAGCAGCAAUGCGCUGAAAGAGGAGUCCGCGGCCGAUUAGCUAGUUGGCAGGGUAAAGGCCUACCAAGGCAUCGAUCGGUAGCCGGCCUGAGAGGGCACACGGCCACACUGGCACUGAAACACGGGCCAGACUCCUACGGGAGGCAGCAGUGGGGAGUCUUGCACAAUGGGGGAAACCCUGAUGCAGCGACGCCGCGUGAGCGAUGAAGCCCUUCGGGGUGUAAAGCUCUUUCGGCAGGGAAGAUUAUGACGGUACCUGCAGAAGCAGCUGCGGCUAACUACGUGCCAGCAGCCGCGGUAAUACGUAGGCAGCAAGCGUUGUUCGGAGUUACUGGGCGUAAAGGGUGUGUAGGCGGUUGUUUAAGUUUGGUGUGAAAUCUCCCGGCUCAACUGGGAGGGUGCGCCGAAUACUGAAUGACUUCGAGUGCGGGAGAGGAAAGUGGAAUUCCUGGUGUAGCGGUGAAAUGCGUAGAUAUCAGGAGGAACACCGGUGGUGUAGACGGCUUUCUGGACCGUAACUGACGCUGAGACACGAAAGCGUGGGUAGCAAACAGGAUUAGAUACCCUGGUAGUCCACGCCCUAAACGAUGCAUAUUUGGUGUGGGCAGUUCAUUCUGUCCGUGCCGGAGCUAACGCGUUAAAUAUGCCGCCUGGGGAGUACAGUCGCAAGGCUGAAACUC
rnacentral:rRNA from 1 species